GACGAACGCUGGCGGCGUGCUUAACACAUGCAAGUCGAGCGGAGCUGCGAACGGGCGAGUAACUCGUGAGUAACUGCCCCCCUCUCUGGGAUAACAGUUGGAAACGGCUGCUAAUACCGGAUAGCUGGGGAUGACUCUCGUCCUAUCAGCUUGUUGGUUGGGUAGUGGCCUACCAAGGCGACGCCGGGUAGCCGGCCUGGGAGGGCGACCGGCCACAAUGGGCUGAGGUACGGCCCAAACGGCUACGGGGGGCAGCAGUGGGGAAUAUUGCACAAUGGGGGAGACCGUGAUGCAGCAACGCGCGUGCGGGAUGACGGCCUUGGGGUUGUAAACCGAUUUAAGCCAUGACGCGGUAGUGGCAGAAGAAGCACCGGCUAACUACGUGCCAGCAGCCGCGGUAAUUC
rnacentral:rRNA from 1 species